rnacentral:rRNA from 1 species
GACGAACGCUGGCGGCGUGCUUAACACAUGCAAGUCGAACGAUGACGACCGAGCUUGCUCGGUCUGAUUAGUGGCGAACGGGUGAGUAACACGUGAGCAACCUGCCCUUCACUCUGGGAUAACCUCGGGAAAUCGGGGCUAAUACCGGAUAUGAGCUCCUGUCGCAUGGCGGGUGUUGGAAAGUUUUUCGGUGAAGGAUGGGCUCGCGGCCUAUCAGUUUGUUGGUGAGGUAGUGGCUCACCAAGGCGAUGACGGGUAGCCGGCCUGAGAGGGCGACCGGCCACACUGGGACUGAGACACGGCCCAGACUCCUACGGGAGGCAGCAGUGGGGAAUAUUACACAAUGGGCGAAAGCCUGAUGCAGCGACGCCGCGUGAGGGAUGACGGCCUUCGGGUUGUAAACCUCUUUCAGCAGGGAAGAAGCGAAAGUGACGGUACCUGCAGAAGAAGCGCCGGCUAACUACGUG